CGGGGGGUGCCAGAUGUAGUGGGUUAUCUUGAUGUGGUAUUUAUGUGGGACCCAACCCUCCCCCCCGU
rnacentral:tRNA from 1 species